AUGAAGGGCCUCUUCAAGUCGAAGCCGCGGACGCCGGCCGACGUGGUGCGGCAGACGCGUGAGCUCCUCAUCUACGUGGACCUCCACGCCGGCUCACGCGGCGCCGACCCCAAGCGAGAGGAGGAGAAGAUGGCAGAAUUAAGCAAAAAUAUAAGGGAUUUGAAGUGUAUUCUGUAUGGCAACGGCGAACAGGAGCCUGUCACUGAAGCUUGCGUGCAAUUGACCCAAGAAUUCUUCAGAGAGAACACUUUACGAUUAUUAAUUAUGUGUGUUCCGAAAGUAAACCUGGAGGCAAGGAAAGAUUCUACUCAAAUUGUUGCAAAUUUGCAACGACAGCAAGUCAACUCAAGGAUACUUGCAUCUGAAUACCUUGAGGCAAAUAAAGAUCUUUUGGACACCUUAAUUUCUGGGUACGAGGAUACAGAGGUUGCUUUACAUUAUGGUGCAAUGUUGAGGGAAUGUAUUCGCCAUCAGAGUAUUGCAAGGUAUGUUCUAGAGUCUGAUCACAUGAAGAAGUUCUUUGACUAUAUACAAAUUCCAAAUUUUGACAUAGCAUCAGAUGCUUCUGCAACCUUCAAGGAACUUCUGACAAGGCAUAAAGCAACCGUGGCGGAAUUUCUUUCGAAGAACUAUGACUGGUUCUUUGCAGAAUUCAACUCUAGGCUGCUUUCAUCAUCCAACUACAUAACAAAAAGGCAGGCUAUCAAGCUGUUGGGAGAUAUGCUCCUUGAUAGAUCAAAUUCUGCAGUCAUGAUGCGAUAUGUUGGUUCAAAGGAUAAUCUUAUGAUUCUGAUGAAUCUUUUAAGGGACUCGAGCAAAAAUAUUCAAAUAGAAUCUUUUCAUGUGUUCAAGCUAUUUGCUGCAAAUAAAAACAAACCAGCUGAGGUUGUGAACAUACUAGUCACAAAUCGAAGCAAGCUUCUUCGAUUUUUUGCCGGAUUCAAAACUGACAAAGAGGAUGAGCAGUUUGAGGCAGACAAGGAGCAGGUCAUAAAGGAGAUAUCAGCAUUGUAA
rnacentral:rRNA from 1 species